CCUCGAUAGGGUUUCACAAGCCUUAAAUGCUCAACAAUUUCUCUUUUUUCUUCUCUCUCGGUGGUCGGGAACUGCUUCGCUUCUUGAUUUUGUGCUCUUAAAUUUCCUCUGCUGUAAGAGGAAAUAAUCGCGCGAAUUGGAUCCCGCCUUGCAUCAACUGAAUCCGAGACCGCGAUGAAGAUUGCAUGGAUCUUGCUUCUUUUUCCGGAUGCAGAUUCUUCCAGGUUUGGAUGUUUUCGUUCUUGUAAUUUACUAUUUUAAGAUCUGGAAGAAUCGCUCAUAGGAGCUAGUUCGUUAUCGAAGCUCGAAGGUUUGAAUUCGCUUGAGCGGUCUGGAUUUUAUUGAUCUUUGCGCGUGAUGUUGUUUGUGUUAAUGCGUAUUUAGAAUAGUUAAUUGAUUUGUACGAGUAUACUUGAUUACCUCGUUGAAGGUUUCUGUGUGUUUUUUACUGUUGAUUUGGCGGAAUCUGUUUAUGUUAUAGCUUGAUGAUGUCUCUGUUCGGACUUCGGUGACGGUUCUUCUCGCCUUCUUUGAUUUGAAAAUUAAAUGGUAAUGGAAGGAACUAAAAGUGCUUUUUGUCAAUGUGAACAAAUCAUGGUUUGUGCAGUGCGAUUACUGUGGUCCACGUUUGCGUCAUUGGCUUCCUUGAUUAUUCUGUUAUGCAAUUGUUCUAUGGAUUCACAAUGCGUUUCGAGUAAAAUUCCAUUAACAAUGAAUCACUUUUGUUGUUUCUCGUUUUACUACUUAUAUUUAUAUUUUUUUAAUUUCUGUACUCCCUCCUGUUGCUUUUAGCAUCUUCUUUAUAGAAGUACUUCGCAGUCUGGCACCACACCGUCGUCGAAUCUUUUAGUGCUCUUUUCCGACCGAGCUCAGAGGAUCUUGUUUUUUCCGUCGGAUUUUGUGCACAAUCCUCCCCUUGCAUUUAGUAUUGUAAGCUUUUCUAACAACCUUCUGAACUCGACAAUAGGAAAUGGUGGAAACUAACCAAGGUAAGUCAGCUUUUUUCCUCUGUUUACGGCAUGUGAAGUUGUUAUAUUUGUUAACAAAUUCUGUUCAUUUCUUGGAAGGUUUUGGGUAAUAAUGGAACCAAAUGGCUCUCUGUUGCAAAAGCUGUUAUUUUGAUUAUGCUGUGGAAUGCCACCCAUGCCUCCUGUGUAUAUAUAUAUAUAUAAUAAUAUUGUUACUACUUACACGCCUUUGGUCGGUCUUAUUUCAGAAGUAAAUAUUAGAAAAUAGCUGUAAUGACAUAUAUAGAUGAAAAGGAAAUCUUAUUAAAGUUUUGUUCUGUUUCCUCGAACCUAUUAAAAGCUUAGUAAGAACUGUUUGUUUUUCUUUACUUCAUGUGAAAACAAACCUGAGUUGUUGAAUUAUUUUUUCGUAUUUCUUGAAAUUUGGCUACGAACCCUUUUCUGGAAGAAAACAAAAAACGAAAUAAUUGGAGAUAUUCUCUUCUACAGUAGCCAACUAUUGCACGAGCACACACGGUGUGGCUUGAUCGAACACAGGACCAUGGGUGUAGGCCUGGGCUUGGGCCCUUGGACGAGCUUUGUACAGAUUGGAAGAUGGGCCAUGGCUCUUCGACGAGGUAUGUACAGUUUGAAUGCCACUGGUAAGGGAUGUUUCAUUGGUUUAGUUUGGUUGCUUUUAUUUUAUUUUUAUGAAAUAUUUGAAACCAAUCCCUUGAUACAUUAUAAUUGAACUAAACCAGUUUGGUUCAACAUUAGAAAGCCAAACAGAAUCAAACCAGUGGCGAAUUAAACCACUUUAAUCGUAUUCAAUUCUUUUUUCUAAUGACGUUAGCCUUGCUUGAUUCCUUUUGGACAUAAAUUUAGUUUGGAGAUCAAUAUCUUUGUUCAUGUAGGCCCUCUUUUUUUCCAUACUCUUUCAGGGUCGAUCAAAUUUAAGAUGAGUAUUAAUGCUUUUGUGUUUUGUUCGUAUGGUUUAGGGACUAAAGUAUUAGUAUCUUACUUUAGUUGCACUCUUUUUUGUUUCAUGCUUUAUGACCACACUUAUUAAAAAAAAAGAAACUAUAUUUGAACCUAACUAUUAGUAACUUGAUUAUUUCGAGAUAGAAAUAACGCUCGUAUGGAGCUGCCAUCUACACCAUAAUAUAUGAAGUUUUUUGAAAAAACUUGCUAGGGAAGGAAACCAUCCCUUGACAAAACUUUGUAUUGUUUUGUUAAUUUAUUGCUUGGUGGCAGAAGAAAAUUGGCUUAAUCAGAACUGAUAUGUCGAUUUAGAUUUAACAUAUCAGGUCAAGGUCUCGCAGAAGGAGGCGAAGAUAAAUAGAAGAAUAUGGAAGGCAUGUGGAGGAAAAAGUGGAAAUGGGCAGCCCACUUUGUUUUGUUUUGUUUUGUAGCAUUAAAACAAAUGGGUAAUGAAUGAAUGAAUGAAAAUGAAAAGCUUCUAAAAGCCAAGUCCUUUGAUCAUUCAUCUUCACAAUGCCAUUGCCUUUUCUUCAACCAUUUCCUUUUCUUUUCUUCUUCCUUGUGUUUGUUUUCUUUGGUGAGAGGCCCUCAAUCGGAAUUAGAUGUACGUGAAUCGCUAUUAAAACGUUAACAUUAUCAAGCUAGAAUCAGU